rnacentral:tRNA from 1 species
GCCGAGGUAGCUAAGCCCGGUUAGGCGUCUGGUGCAUUGCGCGCCAGCCGUUCCGGAAUACGGCGCCGGCCUUGAGAGCCGGUGGUGCCCUGCACCACGGGAGUUCGAAUCUCCCCCUCGGCG